UAGAUGCGAGAGUAGAGCAUAUCAAUAAGCGGAGGAAAAGAAACUAACAAGGAUUCCCUUAGUAACGGCGAGUGAAGCGGGAAGAGCUCAAAUUUGAAAUCUUCAAGGUUCUACCUUGACGAAUUGUAGUUUAAAGAAGUGUUUUCUGUUAGAUGAGUAGCAAAAGUUCCUUGGAAUGGGACAUCAUAGAGGGUGAGAAUCCCGUAUUUGGUUAUUCAUUCUAGCUUUGUGAUACACUUUCAAAGAGUCGGAUUGUUUGGGAAUGCAGUCCAAAAUGGGUGGUAAAUUUCAUCUAAAGCUAAAUAUUGGCGAGAGACCGAUAGCGAACAAGCACCGUGAGGGAAAGAUGAAAAGAACUUUGAAAAGAGAGUUAAACAGUACGUGAAAUUGUCAAAAGGGAAGCGUUUGACACCAGUGUUGUUUUUCCGAAAAUCAAUUACGAAUGGCUUGAUUUUGUGUUGUAUUGACCUUAUCAGCUUUCUGCACUUUUUUCGAGUCUUUCUUAAUGCACUUUUCGGUUAACAAGUCAACAUCAAUUUCUUUUGUUGUAAAAGAGUAUUCGGAAGGUGGCUUUCUUUUCGGAGAAAGUGUUUAUAGCCCUAUACUUCUACAAUCGGAGAGAUUGAGGUCUGCAGCGUAGAUCCUUCGGGGUUAGAUACACUUGUGCUAAGUUGUAGCUUUUCAUAGACAACUUGUUGACUAUGUUUAGUCAUGCGGCUUACUCGCUUAUGCUAUUUUACCUACGCUUAGGAUGUUGAGCGCAUGUCUCUCUCU
rnacentral:rRNA from 1 species